rnacentral:rRNA from 1 species
UUCGGAUUGUAGGCUGCAACUCGCCUACAUGAAGUCGGAAUUGCUAGUAAUCGCAGAUCAGCAUGCUGCGGUGAAUACGUUCCCGGGCCUUGUACACACCGCCCGUCACACCAUGGGAGUCGGUAACACCCGAAGUCGGUAGCCUAACCGUAAGGAGGGCGCCGCCGAAGGUGGGAUUGAUGACUGGGGUGAAGUCGUAACAAGGUAAC